rnacentral:rRNA from 1 species
CACGUAGGGUGCGAGCGUUGUCCGGAAUUAUUGGGCGUAAAGAGCUCGUAGGUGGUUUGUCGCGUUGUCCGUGAAAACUCACAGCUUAACUGUGGGCGUGCGGGGCGAUACGGGCAGACUGGAGUACUGCAGGGGAGACUGGAAUUCCUGGUGUAGCGGUGGAAUGCGCAGAUAUCAGGAGGAACACCGGUGGCGAAGGCGGGUCUCUGGGCAGUAACUGACGCUGAGGAGCGAAAGCGUGGGGAGCGAACAGG